rnacentral:rRNA from 1 species
AACGAACGCUGGCGGCAGGCUUAACACAUGCAAGUCGAACGCCCCGCAAGGGGAGUGGCAGACGGGUGAGUAACGCGUGGGAACCUACCCAGUUCUACGGAACAACUGAGGGAAACUUCAGCUAAUACCGUAUACGCCCUACGGGGGGAAAGAUUUAUCGGAAUUGGAUGGGCCCGCGUUGGAUUAGCUAGUUGGUGAGGUAAUGGCUCACCAAGGCAACGACGGGUAGCCGGCCUGAGAGGGCGACCGGCCACACUGGGACUGAGACACGGCCCAGACUCCUACGGGAGGCAGCAGUGGGGAAUAUUGGGCAAUGGACGCAAGUCUGACCCAGCGACGCCGCGUGCGGGAUGAAGGCCUUAGGGUUGUAAACCGCUUUCAGCAGGGAAGAAGCGAAAGUGACGGUACCUGCAAAAGAAGCACCGGCUAACUAUGUG